rnacentral:rRNA from 1 species
GAUGUGCUUGCACAUCGCUGACGAGUGGCGGACGGGUGAGUAAUGCUUGGGAACUUGCCUUUGCGAGGGGGAUACAGUUGGAAACGACUGCUAAUACCGCAUAAUGUUUUCGAACCAAACGGGGCUUCGGCUCCGGCGCAAAGAGAGGCCCAAGUGAGAUUAGCUAGUUGGUGAGGUAAAGGCUCACCAAGGCGACGAUCUCUAGCUGUUCUGAGAGGAAGAUCAGCCACACUGGGACUGAGACACGGCCCAGACUCCUACGGGAGGCAGCAGUGGGGAAUAUUGCACAAUGGGGGAAACCCUGAUGCAGCCAUGCCGCGUGUGUGAAGAAGGCCUUCGGGUUGUAAAGCACUUUCAGUUGUGAGGAAAAGUUAGUAGUUAAUACCUGCUAGCCGUGACGUUAACAACAGAAGAAGCACCGGCUAACUCCGUGCCAGCAGCCGCGGUAAUACGGAGGGUGCGAGCGUUAAUCGGAAUUACUGGGCGUAAAGCGCACGCAGGCGGUUUGUUAAGCUAGAUGUGAAAGCCCCGGGCUCAACCUGGGAUGGUCAUUUAGAACUGGCAGACUAGAGUCUUGGAGAGGGGAGUGGAAUUCCAGGUGUAGCGGUGAAAUGCGUAGAUAUCUGGAGGAACAUCAGUGGCGAAGGCGACUCCCUGGCCAAAGACUGACGCUCAUGUGCGAAAGUGUGGGUAGCGAACAGGAUUAGAUACCCUGGUAGUCCACACCGUAAACGCUGUCUACUAGCUGUGUGUGCCUUUAAGGCGUGCGUAGCGAAGCUAACGCGCUAAGUAGACCGCCUGGGGAGUACGGCCGCAAGGUUAAAACUCAAAUGAAUUGACGGGGG